AGGAAUGUAGUUCAGUGGUAGAGCAUGUGCUUACCAUGCAUGAAGGUUGGGUUCAAUCCCCAGCCUCUCUC
rnacentral:tRNA from 1 species